UUUUUCAUCUUCUUCAUCAUCUUCCUCUUAGUUCUUCUUAUCCUCCUCUUCAAAUGUUAGUGUGAUGCUUGAACUUUAGGGAUGAAAGAUUCCGUUCCUUUUAUUUGCUGAACUUAUGAAUAUCUCAAUUUAGCGGAAGGGAGGCAGAUCCUUGCCCAGGCACUUGGGGCCAAUAAGAUCAUAGAU